rnacentral:tRNA from 1 species
GGAGGGUUGGCCGAAUUGGCAAGGCACCGGUCUUGAAAACCGGCGGGCGUGAGCCCAUGGGGGUUCGAGUCCCUCACCCUCCGCCA